rnacentral:lncRNA from 11 species
AACCCCGGGAGUUUUGGUUUUCCUGCACAGAUUGAUGGCCCUUUUUCUCUCCCUCCCUUCUGCAGAAAGCAUGGAUGUCGUAUUCGGGGCAGCUUCUGGAUACAGUGGAUGCCUCCUACCUGCGUGUCCAGGAGGACCGGAAGUCUCUAGCGCUGCAGCAAAAGCAACUCAGCGAACUCCUCCUGAAGUGCCGGGAAAAACUUCAAAGAAGUGACCAAAAACAAGCCGAAAUGAAGUCGGAAAUGGAGAAAGCCCUGCAAAUCAAGCAAGCGGCGGAUCAGGCGCUGGAGGCGGUGCGGAGUCACGCUGCGUUGCGGAUCGAGGGCUUGACGCUGAGUUUUGAUUCACAGAAGCGUUUCCAUUCGUUGCUGCAAGAAGCCAAUGAAUGCAAGGCCGGCCUUCUCUUGGAAAGCAAAAAGAACACGGAAGAAAUGGACCGCCGCACAACAACCCUGCGCCAGAGCUGGAUACAGAUGCAGAAAGACUACAAGACGCUCACAAACCUGGCUGCCCGCUGCCAUUCGGACCGGGAAAAGAUGACCACCGAAGUAGCCGCAGCCCGGGAAGAGCUCGCUCAGCACCGAGAAGUUUGCCGGGAGCUGGAGGAGAGGACUGCGGAGUUGGCGGAGGCGCUGGGGCGCAUCAGUGAAUUGACGCAGGCCAACGCCAGUCUGGAAACAGACUUGGCGUUGGCCCUGCAGCGAGCGGAUGUGGCUGAGCGGGAGAAAGAAGAGGCCUGUGAAGAGAACCGGAGGCUUUCGGAGGCAUUGGUGGCAGAGCAGGACACAACCCGGGCGUUGCGAGAGGCAGUGGAGCGGCUGUCCGUCGAGAAGGAGGCGGCGCAACGGGAACGCGAGAGCGCCAACCGUGAGGCCCGCGAAGCCGCCGAAUGCCGCGAGUUCAUUGAGGAAGAAAACCAGAUAAUGCGGCGCCAGCAGGCAGAGACCGAGGCAGGGCUGAAAUCGGCCUUGGCCACCCUGAGAGAGCAAGGGGUCCAGAUGGAGGACCUCAAGGGAGCCCACCGGACCCUCCAGGAUGAACGGGACGCUCUCCGAGCGGAGGUGGUUGCCGCCAAAGCCGAGGCCUGCAGUGCCGGAGCCGCCUUGGAGGCCGUUUCCAAAUCGCUUGCGGAGAUGAAAGGCGUCUAUUUGCAGGUUCUAGAAAUGGCCGAUCUCCUGGAAACUCCCACAAAUGUUGUCCCGGCAUCACACCGACUCGGCUCCUCUUUCGUCGACAGUGUCUUGCAAGCCGCGGCGGGAAAAGAUUCCCGGACUCCAGGCCUUUUGAGCGAAUCGACCGCAUUUGCAAAAGCUAUUCCAGUGCAGUCACCAACACCAUCAGAGAUCCAGGAAGACUUUUCCUGCUGCGUCCGGGACUUCCAAGUAGCCGCGGCCCAGAUCCGCCGGCUGAUUUCCACCCGCAACGAGGAAAUCCAGGACCUGAAGGCGGAAAUUUUGCGGCUGAAACAAGGCCUGGAAGACGCAGCGAAGAGUCUCCGGGAAGAAAAAGAAGCCGCCGCGGCGAAUGCGGACAAGAUGAACAAGGCGCUCCACUUGCGCCUGCAGAAUGAAAAAGAGCUGCAGGCAGUGAUGCGGAUGCAAGAGAAGAGGUUCCUGCAACUGAACGACCAGAGCUGGGAAGUUGCGACUUUGCGUGAGGAGGUCUCCCAGCUGAAAGGCGCCCUGCAGAAAGCGGAGCGGGAGUCGGCGGCGCUGUGGGAGGAACUGGGCCGGACCAAGGCGCCCUCGGACGGGGACGCCGUGCGGGAGAAGAUCUGGCUGCGGGGAGAGGUGGAGAAACUCCGGGAGAUGCUCCUGCGCAAGGACGACGAGCGCAAGGAAAUCCUCUCCCAAAGCCUCUGCCAGGUGAGGACUCUCCUCCUUUUCUCUUGGACCAGGCCAACGUCGGGCAAGCAGCUUUGAUUUUUGUUUGGAUGCAGACAAAGCAUUUGACAACUUAAACUGGGGACUGUAUUAUUUUUAUUUUAACUCUGCGAGGACUAUUAAGAGAAAAAUGACAAAAAGAAGAGACUAAAGCAGGGCAUGGGCAAACUUGGGCCCUCCGGGUGUUUUGGACUCCAACUCCCACAAUUCC